AAAAAAAUUUAAUUAAUUAAUUAAUUAAUUAAUUAAUUAAAUAAUUAAAAUAAAUAAAUAAAAUAUAACAAAUUAUUUUGGACUUGGGUCUCCCUCAUUUGAGCCCAUUACCCACGAAAAUCAGUCUAUAAAUACUGAGGUUUCAGUAGAGGAAAACACACUUGGAGUUACACUGGGAGAUUCACUUGAGAAAAAGGGAGAGAAGCAAAAUACUCUGAGGUUUCCUUGGAACAAAACACUGGACAAAACCUGAAGGGAAACCUACA
rnacentral:lncRNA from 1 species